rnacentral:tRNA from 1 species
GGUGGCUCAAUGGUAGAGCACUUGCCUUGCAUGUCUGAGGCCCUGGGUUCGAUUCCCCAGCACCA